ensembl:misc_RNA
CUUUUUAACACAAAGGAUCCACUCCACAUCCAGCCACACCUAAAGAAAUGCUUUGAAGGAAUUGCCAAGCUCACUUUUAAUCAUGAGAAAGAAAUUACCCACAUGGAGUCAGCAGAAAAUGAAAAAGUAGAGCUCGUGCUGCGAAUAAUUCCAGCAAGUGCCAAGGGGCUAGUUGAGAAAUGGCUUCAUGAGG